UAAGACUUAUGAACCACUAAUCCAUAUCUUCUGAAUGCAACUCAGACACUCUCAUUGAGCUAAAGCCUUU
rnacentral:tRNA from 1 species